UUCCGGUUGAUCCUGCCGGACCUUACUGCUAUCGGGGUGGGACUAAGACAUGCGAGUCGAGCGUCUCUAGCUAUGUUGAGACGCGGCAGACUGCUCAGUAACACGUGGCUAACCUACCCUCAGGACGAGGAUAAACCCGGGAAACUGGGGCUAAUACUCGAUAGGUGAGAAUGUCUGGAAUGAUUUCUCACUCAAAGGGCCUUGGGAACAUGCUUCCAAUGUCGCCUGGGGAUGGGGCCGCGUCCGAUCAGGUUGUUGGUGAGGUAAUGGCUCACCAAGCCUAUAACCGGUACGGGCCGUGAGAGCGGUAGCCCGGAGAUGGGUACUGAGACAAGGACCCAGGCCCUACGGGGCGCAGCAGUCGCGAAAACUCCGCAAUGCACGAAAGUGUGACGGGGCUACCCCGAGUGCCAUCCGCUGAGGGUGGCUUUUCUUUGGUAUAACUAGCCGAGGGAAUAAGGAGAGGGCAAGACGGGUGUCAGCCGCCGCGGUAAUACCAGCUCUCCGAGUGGUAGGGAUGAUUAUUGGGCUUAAAGCGUCCGUAGCCGGCUUAGCAAGUCUCCUGUUAAAUUCAGCGACCUAAUCGUUGAGCCGCGGGAGAUACUACUAGGCUAGGAGGCGGGAGAGGUCGACGGUACUUCUGGGGUAGGGGUGAAAUCCUAUAAUCCCGGGAGGACCACCAGUGGCGAAGGCUGUCGACUAGAACGCGCUCGACGGUGAGGGACGAAAGCUGGGGGAGCGAACCGGAUUAGAUACCCGGGUAGUCCCAGCCGUAAACGAUGCAUGCUAGGUGUUGGGUUGGCCACGAGCCACCCCAGUGCCGCAGGGAAGCCGUUAAGCAUGCCGCCUGGGAAGUACGAUCGCAAGGUUGAAACUUAAAGGAAUUGGCGGGGGAGCACCACCAGGCGUGAAGCCUGCGGUUUAAUUGGAGUCAACGCCGGG
rnacentral:rRNA from 1 species